rnacentral:rRNA from 1 species
AGUGAACGCUGGCGGUAGGCCUAACACAUGCAAGUCGAACGGCAGCACAGUAAGAGCUUGCUCUUACGGGUGGCGAGUGGCGGACGGGUGAGGAAUACAUCGGAAUCUACUUUUUCGUGGGGGAUAACGUAGGGAAACUUACGCUAAUACAGCAUACGACCUACGGGUGAAAGCAGGGGAUCUUCGGACCUUGCGCGAUUGAAUGAGCCGAUGUCGGAUUAGCUAGUUGGCGGGGUAAAGGCCAACCAAGGCGACGAUCCGUAGCUGGUCUGAGAGGAUGAUCAGCCACACUGGAACGGAGACACGGUCCAGACGCCUACGGGAGGCAGCAGUGGGGAAUAUUGGACAAUGGGCGCAAGCCUGAUCCAGCCAGACCGCGUGGGUGAAGAAGGCCUUCGGGUUGUAAAGCCCUUUUGUUGGGAAAGAAAAGCAUCAGGUUAAUACCCCGCUGUUCUGACGGUACCCAAAGAAUAAGCACCGGCUAACUUCGUG